rnacentral:rRNA from 1 species
UUAAGGUUUUAAAUGAGUGCUAAGAGAAUGGAAUAUCAAAGAAUAACUUUCUUAAAAUUAAAAAUUGAAAUUUUUUUAAUUUGUGUAAAAACAAUUAUAAAAAUUAAAGACAAGAAGACCCUAAGAAUUUUUAAAAUUUAAAUUAAUACAUUUUUGUUUUAAUUAAAUUUUAACUGGGGCGGUUAAAAAAUAUUAAAAACUUUUUAAUUUUGAAAAUGGUCCAUUAUUAAUGAAAAUAUGAUAAAAUACUCUAGGGAUAACAGCGUUAUAUUUUUUGAUAGAUCAUAUUGACAAAAAAGUUUGCGACCUCGAUGUUGGAUUAGGAUACUUUUUUAAUGAAGAUAUAAAA